UCUUCGGCAAAUGAAAUGGACAUUCCAUUCGCGCACGCGAAAAGAGUGAUAUGGAUUGCUAAUCUCGCAUUACAUGCACCAGCUGUGAAUAUUAUGGAGCAGAGUGAAGGAAAUGUCUCCAAUAUAACUAAGGUAGAUGCUUCCCCAAAGUCAAAGCAGAAGAAAAAAUCUCUUUGUCGCAUGCUGAUGAACAAGAAGACUAAAGUUGGCUGUUUAGAGUCAUCGUACAAGGAUGGGGAUUCCAAUAAGAAUUCUAGGAUAGAGAAUUCACAACACGGAUCUCAAACUAGCACCAAACUGUCCCUGUGUUGCGCCAUGACCGAACGUAGCAGAACACCGCCUCAGAGCUUGACUGUCAGCAGACUUUCCCCAACAUUAAGUCGCACUUCGGUCAAAUCCGAGGUAGCUUCCACUAAUGGUGAUUGUCAAACGGAUGCUUUAGUCGAGAAGGAAGAGAUGUAUGUUGCAAGUGGUCAGAUUCACGCAUCUCAAGAGACAGUAAUGAAGAGGAAUAUGGUAGCAGCGGGGAAGGAGCAGCGUCAUAGUGCUUAUAUAGAAGACUCGACGGAAGACUCAUUCGAAGAAUCUUCAGAAGAUGAAAACGAACGUCUAAUUGAGUCUGAAAAAACUCACAGAUACUUUAAGGAUGAGUACUUUACAAAGGGGAAGUAUAUCAGUUACUUCUUCCUGGAAAUGGAACGGAUGUUCUACAAUCCUGCAGAAGUUUACAGUAUGAUUCAGUAUCACGAUACUGAUUGCGAAAAGCUGGGGAAAGAAGGAGAAAAUUCUUCUUCCGGAUCGCUAUCGCCGAGUAUAUCGGGUCACAUACGUCGUAGAUUGCUUCAUAGGAGAUCCGCGGAUAAUCUGAUGGUGAAUUCACCCACAAAUUCCAUGAGACACUCUAGUCCGGAAUCUAUUAAGAGCGCGCCGAUUCAGCACAAGCCGCGUUCGACGUCGCACGAUGCUCUGUCAAAAAAGAAAGAUCGCUACUUUUGUCAGACGACAGGUGCAUCUAUGGAUAGCUUGGCGAAGCAAUCGUUGCUUGCCGCACAAGUACUUAAUUUAAUUCCCACUCAGAAGGCGCGGGAAAGAAACUUUCUUCACGGAAGAAUCGCUGCUAAUUCCCUGCUCGGACCGGUGGAACUUGAGAAAGUAUUGCCGAAUCGUGAGCUGAAAAUUUUUAUCGGCACGUGGAAUAUGAACGGUCAGACACCACCGAAGGAGUUGAACGACUUUAUGCUGCCGUCCGAUAUAGAGACCGUUCCCGAUCUGUUGGCUAUAGGAACGCAGGAGUCGUGCUCUGAACGAAACGAGUGGGAGGCGGCCCUGCAAGAGACCCUCGGCCCUUCGCACGUGCUGCUCACUAGCAGUAGCCUCGGCACACUUCAUCUCGCGUUAUUCCUGAGACGAGAUCUGAUCUGGUUCUGCUCCAUCCCGGAAGAGGACAGCUUCUCGACGAGGACCGGUACGGCGUUUAGAACGAAGGGCGCGGUGGCGAUAGCCCUCAUGAUAUUCGGCACUAGUUUCCUCUUCGUCACCGCGCACUUGACCGCGCAUCAAGAUAAAGUGAAGGAACGAGUUAAUGAUAUAAAGAGAAUCGUGAGAAAUCUUGACCUUCCCAAGGAGCUACCCACCAGGCACAAGAGCAAAGACGUGACGCAAAAUUUCGAUUGCGUGUUUUGGUGCGGCGACUUGAACUUCCGCCUGGCUCAGCCGAGGGAGGAGGUAAUUGAAUGGAUCACGAACACGUGCUUUCCGCAGGAAUCGCCGAUAAACCUACAUAAAGAUCAGCUGAGAAGCAUUCUGAACGAUGGCGCGGUAUUGCGCGGCUUCGAGGAAGCCUCCAUCACCUUCCCGCCCACGUACAAGUACGAUCCGGGAACGCAGAAUUUCGAUUCCAGUAGCAAGCAACGCACUCCUGCGUACACCGACAGAAUCCUCUUCAAGGGGAAGGGCCACACCAGAGGCUACAUCAGACGUGUCAGUCAUGAUAUCUCCAGUUCCCACAAGGAUGGAGCUAUCGAGUGUUUGGUUUACGAUUCCGUUCCCAGUAUUUGUACCUCGGAUCACAAGCCGGUCUGGGGAGUUUUUAAAACCACACUGAGGCCGGGUAUCGAUACAAUUCCGCUCGGUGCUGGACUUUUCAAUCGCGAGGUAUACCUGGAAGGUAUUAGGAGGCGCGCAGCUGCGAUGGAUGAUUCUCUGGGAACUUCAAAAGUUUGUUCGAUUCAAUAAGCAAGUCCGAGACUAUUGUGAGCGCUUUAACACAACAAUUUGGUAAUGUAUCUAUAGCUAUUGCCAAGAAGGGAAGGGAUGACCGUAUAUGUAUUCUUAACAGUAACUGAAGAAAGAACAGAGACUACUGCUGGACAAACAAGCAACAAUAUAUAAAUUACUAAUAAAAAGAUAACGUUAUAUCUAGUUGAUGAACAAUACAUAGUAUUAUAAAAGUUAAUAUAAAAGUUAAGCUCCACAAAAACGCUUGGAGUGGUGUUUACGCUUAAAGGUUCCACUAAGUAUAGUGCAGAACGUAAAUGUUGAAUAGAGAGGAAAGUGCUUAUACUUAUUGCAACAUAAUGUAUUAAAAGAAAAAGACAAGUAUAUAAUAUAUUACAUGUUAGGCGAUAAGUGAUAUAGAAAUAUAAGUAUUUUGAAGAGAAUACGAUUUGGUGGGAUUUGUCGGUUAAACUAUUAGACUUAUAAUAUAUGUAUUCUAUUAUUCCAUUGCAAGUAAAAUAAUUAAAAGAUUUAAAAUAAUCAUAGGGUGCUUGCACACUGAACAAAUAAUCAAAACGAUAAAUCUUAAAUUGGAAAAAAGUGUUUCUAUGUGUCCUGACAGAGACAUUUUCUGUCAUGUAUUGGAUAUUUUAGUAACCUGUGACAACUCCUUUUUUGUAGCCGCGCAAAAACAGGUUGCCAAUCAAGGUGCCUAAAAUCUAUCUUUCGUAUACUGAUUCUGAGCCUUCUAUAAUGAAGUGAAACAAAGAAUUAAAGAUCUUCAAAAUCAGGUUGCCUUAACCAUGCCUUAUCUAAAUCGUUACAUAUGUAGUUAUGUAUUUGAUCUGUGAGUUUGCAAUUCUAUUGAGAUUGUACUUGAUUUAGAUCUCUGCCCUAAUUAGGAAAGGAAAAGUGCAGUGAAAUAAAUCAUCUAUGUUGUAAUUAUUUCUGUAAUGAUAUCUGAAUAAAUGUCCCAAAGUAAACUUAAU
rnacentral:misc_RNA from 1 species